rnacentral:rRNA from 1 species
UACGUAGGGUGCGAGCGUUGUCCGGAUUUAUUGGGCGUAAAGCGUGCGUAGGCGGCUGCGCAAGUCGGGUGUGAAACCCCGGGGCUCAACCCCGGAACUGCAUCCGAUACUGCGUGGCUAGAGGUAGGUAGGGGAGAUCGGAAUUCCUGGUGUAGCGGUGAAAUGCGCAGAUAUCAGGAGGAACACCGGUGGCGAAGGCGAGUCCCUGGACACUUCCUGACACUGAGGCACGAAGGCUAGGGGAGCAAACAGG